GAUGAGGAAGACGAUAUUCCGGAUAUGGUUGAGUUUGAAGAAACUGAUAACAUUGUUACAGAUCCUUCUACAUAUCUAGUGGCUCAUGAAUCUGAUGAUGAUAAUAUUCUACGAACCCGAACUUACGACGUCAGUAUCACGUAAGAUGAGUUUCAAACUUACAGUGUAACUUUUCUUGAUUGCCAUUUUGUUCCUGAACAAACUGCUACUUGUAAUAUCAGAGAAGACUGGGUAUCUUUUCCUGACAUAUCACACAAGUGCUAAGAUUUUUCUGAACAAACUGUUGGAGGAUAUUUAUUCCUGACAUAUUUGUACUUCUCCUAUUUUCUUUGUUGUAUAUUGUUCUUUCUGUCAGAUAGAAAGGACAACCUAUUUUGUAUUUGAAACAAACAGUCUUUAGACAAUAAUUUGAAUAGUUCUAUUUGACUUGUUUGCAGGUAUGAUAAAUAUUAUCAAACACCUCGAGUAUAGCUUACCGGGUAUGAUGAGGUUUGUUUUCCACAAGAUCUUCUUUUAACUAUAUAUAUUCAUUCACUUUUGUCGAUCUAUAAGCCUACGAUGAACCUACCAGGACAACUACUGUUUGCUUAUUUUAAGUAGUGGAUAUAAAUGAUUUGAAUAUCCCGAACUGGGGGCUCAGGGGUCAAUGAUGAUUUUACAACAAGAACUUGUCGUUGAAGAUGUUAGUCAGGACCAUGCUCGCAAAACGGUAACAAUUGAGGACCACCCUCACUUGCCUUGUAAGCAUGCAUCUAUUCAUCCAUGUCGACAUGGAGCAAUGAUGAAGAAAAUCAUUGUUGUUUUGAUGUCACGUGGGGUUGAGCCAAAAGUUGACAAGUAAGCCCUUUCUGUCCAAGAUAUUAUUGCUUUCAUAGAAACGUAAUUAAAAUCUUUCCCAUGGUGAUAUAAACUGGAUUUUUCUUUUAAUAAAUCUAAAGCAACAUUGUCUGUAAUUGUUUACAACAUCCAUACAAAUAUUGUUUUCUCAUUAGCUUCACAAUUUUUUAUUUAUUGCUUAUGUAAUUACUGGCUUUCAGAUGGUGGAAUAUUUGAUUAUGGAAUCUGCCUAAAGAUUGUUUGUAGCAUAUAGUCAAGCAUGCAUCUGUUUUUUGUUCAACAGUCAUUCACCCCUUUCCUAGUUUCUGUGGUUAAUUAUAUUAUGUUCCUCGAGAUAGGGGCAAUUUUAUAUGCUUGAGAUGCCAUAUUGAAUUCCAACAUGUAUGCUUAUGCCUGUUAAUUUUACUUCAACCGCUCCGUACGACUUGAAUUCCCAUAUAUAA